rnacentral:rRNA from 1 species
UACGUAGGGUGCAGGCGUUGUCCGGAAUUAUUGGGCGUAAAGAGCUCGUAGGCGGUCUGUCGCGUCGGAUGUGAAAACCCAGGGCUCAACCCUGGGCCUGCAUUCGAUACGGGCAGACUAGAGUUCGGUAGGGGAGACUGGAAUUCCUGGUGUAGCGGUGAAAUGCGCAGAUAUCAGGAGGAACACCGGUGGCGAAGGCGGUUCUCUGGGAAUAUCCUGACGCUGAGGAGCGAAAGUGUGGGGAGCGAACAGG